UACGUAGGGUGCGAGCGUUAAUCGGAAUUACUGGGCGUAAAGCGUGCGCAGGCGGUUCGUUGUGUCGGCGGUGAAAGCCCCGGGCUCAACCUGGGAAUGGCCGUUGAAACUGGCGAACUGGAGUGUGGCAGAGGGGGGUGGAAUUCCGCGUGUAGCAGUGAAAUGCGUAGAGAUGCGGAGGAACACCGAUGGCGAAGGCGGCUUCUGGACGGUAACUGACGCUGAGACGCGAAAGCGUGGGGAGCAAACAGG
rnacentral:rRNA from 1 species